UCGCACACUAGAUUGCAGCAGCCCUGCAGCGCACUCUCCGCCUGAGACUACUAAACAAAAUUCAAUGGUUGCUGUGUGAGUGCCCUGAGUGAGACCGAUCGGAGUAAUUACACUUAUCGUGGUUUUAAGAUACGUGCCAAUGAACGACGCUACAGUUGAUGAUUGAUAAUCGACGGCUGUUGAACACACAGCCCUACACAGAAACUCACAUCGAAGCAAACUGCGACGGCUGAUGAGAUAUCUGACGAGAGGAGCGUUGACUGCCUGCCUGCUUUCACGCCACGAAGAGAUGAUAACAAACGGACGAGCACCGCUUGCUACGAUUAAGAAACAAUGAACCGAUUGUACACUAAUUACAUC